UGUUACUUGACACUGAUGUUGAACAAAGCAAUGAGAAGGCCGGCAAGUCUGAACAACGUUUACUGUGACUUUGGUAUAUAUAAAAGCCAGGUCCAUCAAUGAUUUUCCUAGAAGAGCAACAUUUCUGACGACUUCUGCCAAUUCUACUACUUCAUCUCUUUCAAGGACAAAACUGACUGACUGCUCUAAUCAAAUACGUGGAAGAAGAAAGAAAAAGAGGCACUUAUUUUCCUCCCUUGGAUUCCUCAUCUGGGAGAGAAUACACUUACCAAACAGUUUCAAGAAUAUCAAAGUGAAGCCUGAAUCUUCAGCUGCAUAAUACAGUGAUUUUCAAAGGGUAUUCUUUAUUGAUGUGCUGAAUGUAACAAUAUUAAUGUGUACUUAGAGCAGCACUGUGAUGUACCGCUAUUUUGAAGAAACAAUAAAACAACAAGAACUGCCAUCCAACAUAUAAUUUUAAUCUACAUAAUUCUAAGAAUUUUCCAACUUCUAUGCAGUUGCUGAUUAAAAACAAUACAAAAUCCAAAACAAUGAUCAAACCCACAAAAAUGCCAAAAACAAAACACAUACUCUCCCAUUAGGCCUAUUAUUCUGCAAGAUACCUUCAAGUCACAACUGCUUCCAAAAUUUAAUGUAUGCAAAAUUCAGAUAAAUGACAUCUAUAAGGAUUCAAGUAACUUAAUAUAAUAUAAUUAAGAACACACAGCAAUUUUUGAAGAACUGCUGCUAUUACAGACACCCAAACAAUCACGGUAAUGAUCUACUG